UCGGUCGACUUCUUCAAGGUUGUGAUCGUUGAAACACUCUGGACUUUACUUACUCGUCUUGGAAGUGGUAAUACUUGUUUGAUCGCAUCAGGUUUACUACC